GGAACAGAUACUUAUUGGCAAAAACACCUUAAAGUGGAAAUGAAGCAGUGAGAACUGUGACCAUUUUUUGGUUGCUUUUUCAUUUUUGAAGAUACAUGGA